UACGAAGGGGGCUAGCGUUACUCGGAAUUACUGGGCGUAAAGCGUGCGUAGGUGGUGAGUUAAGUCUGUCGUGAAAGCCCCGGGCUCAACCUGGGAAUGGCGAUGGAUACUGGCUCGCUAGAGUGCGGUAGAGGAGAGUGGAAUUCCCGGUGUAGCAGUGAAAUGCGUAGAUAUCGGGAGGAACACCAGUGGCGAAGGCGGCUCACUGGACUGGUAUUGACGCUGAGGUGCGAAAGCGUGGGGAGCAAACAGG
rnacentral:rRNA from 1 species